UUAUGUCUGGAAGCUGGUUUCGGCCGGUGGACGGACAUAACUUAGUGGCGAACGGGUGAGUAACACGUAGGUAACCAACCCUUAGGAGGGGGAUACUCCCGAGAAGUCGGGUUUAAUACCGCAUAACAUCCCAAAGUGAAACUCUUCGGGAUGAAAGCCUUGAGUAAUUAAGGCGCCUAAGGAUGGGCCUGCGGCCUAUCAGCUAGUUGGUGAGGUAAUGGCUUACCAAGGCAAAGACGGGUAGCCGGACUGAGAGGUUGAUCGGCCACACUGGAAUUGAGAUACGGUCCAGACUCCUACGGGAGGCAGCAGUGGGGAAUUUUGCGCAAUGGGCGAAAGCCUGACGCAGCGACGCCGCGUGGGGGAAGAAGGCCCUCGGGUUGUAAACCCCUUUCGUGAGGGAAAAAGCCCUGAGUUUAUCGAAGGGUGAUGGUACCUCAAGAAGAAGCCACGGCUAACUCUGUGCCAGCAGCCGCGGUAAGACAGAGGUGGCAAGCGUUGUUCGGAUUUACUGGGCUUAAAGGGCGUGUAGGCAUCUUGAUAAGUCAAAUGUGGAAGCCUUGGGCUUAACCCAAGAAGUGCAUUUGAAACUAUCAGGAUUGAGUCGUUCAUGGGAGGGCGGAAUUCCUGGUGUAGCGGUGAAAUGCGUAGAUAUCAGGAGGAAGGCCGGUGGCGAAGGUGG
rnacentral:rRNA from 1 species